CCUACGGGGGGCUGCAGUAGGGAAUCUUCGUCAAUGGGCGCAAGCCUGAACGAGCAAUGCCGCGUGAACGAGGAAGGUCUUCGGAUCGUAAAGUUCUGUUGAAGGGGAAAAAGAGCGGAGAGAGGAAAUGCUUUCUGAUUGAUAUUACCCUUCGAGGAAGUCACGGCUAACUACGUGCCAGCAGCCGCGGUAAUACGUAGGUGGCGAGCGUUAUCCGGAUUUAUUGGGUUUAAAGGGUGCGUAGGCGGACUGUUAAGUCAGCGGUAAAAGCCCGGGGCUCAACCCCGGCGAGCCGUUGAAACUGGCGUUCUUGAGUGGGCGAGAAGUAUGCGGAAUGCGUGGUGUAGCGGUGAAAUGCAUAGAUAUCACGCAGAACUCCGAUUGCGAAGGCAGCAUACCGGCGCCCAACUGACGCUGAAGCACGAAAGCGUGGGUAUCGAACAGGAUUAGAUACCCCAGUAGUC
rnacentral:rRNA from 1 species